UAGCUAUGUAUGGACGGGAUAAGUGCUGAAAGCAUCUAAGCAUGAAGCCCCCCUCAAGAUGAGAUUUCCCAACUUCGGUUAUAAGAUCCCUCAAAGAUGAUGAGGUUAAUAGGUUCGAGGUGGAAGCGUGGUGACACGUGGAGCUGACGAAUACUAAUCGAUCGAAGACUUAAUCAAUUU
rnacentral:rRNA from 1 species